CAGGUGGUGCAUGGUUGUCGUCAGCUCGUGUCGUGAGAUGUUGGGUUAAGUCCCGCAACGAGCGCAACCCUUGUCGCUAGUUACCAUCAUUAAGUUGGGGACUCUAGCGAGACUGCCUCUGCAAGGAGGAGGAAGGCGGGGAUGACGUCAAAUCAUCAUGCCCCUUAUGACCUGGGCUACACACGUGCUACAAUGGACGGAUCAAAGGGAAGCGAAGCCGCGAGGUGGAGCGAAACCCAAAAACCCGUUCUCAGUUCGGACUGCAGUCUGCAACUCGACUGCACGAAGUUGGAAUCGCUAGUAAUCGCGAAUCAGAAUGUCGCGGUGAAUACGUUCUCGGGCCUUGUACACACCGCCCGUCACACCAUGAGAGUUGGUAACACCCGAAGCCGGUGGCUUAACCGCAAGGAGAGAGCUGUCUAAGGUGGGACUGAUGAUUAGGGUGAAGUCGUAACAAGGUAUCCCUACGGGAACGUGCGGUUGGAUCACCUC
rnacentral:rRNA from 1 species